GCGCCGCAUUCCAGCGCCGGCUGAAGGUCAAGUCGUACGUAUCUCUCUCUCGUCCACGAUUAUUAGGAUUCAAUAAUAUUAAUCAUAAACAUGACAGGAAGAUGCGACAAAUGGAACCAAUGUCCCAAGAUAUUUAUGAUUUCUGCUCAAAGUAUAUGCUUUAAAAGAGCGCAUUUUAAAAACAGAGAUCAUUACAUUUGAUCAGCUGGUAUUAUGCACUUUGACAGAAAAACAAUCAUUGGAGCAAAAUCCGAGAGCAUUAAUAUGAGACUUGUAAGAACAUGAAACAUUUUGGAUUGAAAUCUGUGUCUCAUUCUCACACAUGCAUUCUAAAAGUUCCUCGGGUUUUCUUCGUCAUCCGAUUGCGUUUCAUCUACGGCAGUAACAUCUGGGAAAUAUAAUUUGGACUCUUCGAUAGCCUUCUCCGGAUUUUCGCUCACAUGAAAAGGUCCAAUUCCAGCAAAGCCCAGAAAUGCUUCGCAACCUACUUUCUUCACUGUGCAGACGAAUAUUUCGUAACUGUGAAUAUAACGAGGAGUAAUUUAAUAUUCAGGACGCUCACCAUGCCUGUGCAAGGACCACUCCAAUCCGAAUAUACGUCCACUACUAAAUAAGGACAUUAUAUGAAAAAUAUUUUUGACAAGAUAUUUAAUAGAGAAGUUACUUUUAUAUACUUCUACGAGAGGUAUAUACUUAUGUGACAAAAACUUGAAUAAACUUUGAGGAACGGUUAUACAGAGUUUUUUGCAAACAUGUUUGGGAAAGAAGCUAUCAAACUCAUAACGGAGCUCGAUAUGUAUGAAGAUAUCCGGCCGUUUAAUGAACAGGUGAUGCGACAAGUUUUUGAAGAGAUGCAAAGUCUUUACGAGGCUAAUCUGGUGGACAGUAACGCCAUACAAAAUGAAGGAAAUAAUGAGUUAUUACCAUCAGUGCAUUUCCGCCAUACAGCUCUGCUCAGGAACAAAAGGUGUAUUUUGGCAUAUCUGUUUCAUCGGAUUAGGCGUUUACGGCAGAUGCGUUGGGAAUUGGGUAGCAUCCUGCCGACUGAAAUAACCGCCAAUUUGCUAAAUGCAGAGGUGCAAUGGUUUCAGAAUUACAACAAGUCUUUGGCCACCUACAUGAGAUCAAUCGGAGAUGAUCAAUCAGGGGAGAUGAUCGGAUUGAAUCUGACUGUGAACAUGAGUCCUCCAAAGAUGCUCUAUGUCGAAGUAAAAUGCUUAACCGAUUUCGGUAAGCUGGAACUCGACAAUGGCGAAAUUAUUACGUUGAAAAAGAACACAUACCAUCUGCUCCCAAGGGCUAUAUGCGAGCCGCUUAUCAGACAAGACGUUGCAUUAACAGGAGACGAGCAGUUUUUUCUCAGUGAGGACCGGUAGCAGUCGACAUCUAUCUCGCACAAUCAUCAUUUUCGAGUUUUUCCUUCUUCUGGAGCUACAGACAAAGCAGCGUGAAUUUCCUGCAGUGAACGAAGGAACACACAUCGACCAAGAGCAGCAGAAAAAAUUGGGCUUUCUAUAAACUUGACUUGGAAUGCCAUUCGUCAAUAUUUGGCAAUAACAGAUGGCCAGUCAAGCAUAUGAAAUUCGUUGGGAAAAAUUGACAGAGAAGAUGCUCUCCCGUGCAACACACAGCGAAAUUUGAAAAAUUUCAACGGGGCGUUAUCUUUCGAAGAAAGAAGAUCACAUGUUUGAACUGUUCUGACGAAAAAAGAUAACGGGUAAUAAAUGAAGCUAAUUGCCCGAACGGUUCAUUAUACGACCUCAAUAUAAUGAUGGGAAAACCCAUGUGGAAUUUCUCUCCUUUGUACGCAUCGAGGUCGCAUAUUCGGCGAAUCGAUUUCCCGGUACACGAACAGUGAACGACCAUGGGACAUUUGCUGCGAUGCAUCGUCGCGAGGCCUUCAGAUAAGAAAUGCUGGUGGAAUUUCCGGUGAGUUCGUCGCGCCGCUUUUACCGAGAGGUGUCACGAAGAAAGUAGCCCGACUAUCACAUGCGGCAGCAAAUGCGAAAGUUACAUCGAUCAACGUGUAACUCACGUGUAGCAACGGUCUGCCGAUCCAUGGGAGAAAGACAACAUCUUCGAAAUAUAUGCUAAAGAUGAAUGUUUUAAAUCUCUCUGGACUUCACAAGAUCCGAAAAAUCCGAUGAUUCAUUUCUUCACAAAAAAGAAAGGAAGAAAAAGAAGAUGGUGCAACUUGAAUAAGCGGUGUCAAUGUCUUUAGAAUAAAAAAUGUGCUAGACGCGAAAGAUUUAUAGAAUGAAUGAAAGAUAUGAUCUUGUUGAAAGAUCUGCGUGUAUGUGUGUCAGUCCCGAAAACGAAGAGUGAAACUUUAUCGAUACGAAAUUGCGACAUUUUUUGCAUCUGAUAAUUUAGAAUCCAACUUACGAGAUAAAAGCGCGCCUUAUCUCGCAAUGUUACACGAUUUUAAUACAAACCGACCUGCUAUGUAGAGAUUUGGAGAAGCACUCCUUCUGUCUCUCUCUAGAUAAUUUUCUGAAAGAGCUGCUAUUAUUGAGAUAUUUACGAUACAUAUCGAUAAAAAUUCGCGAUCGCGCUUGCACGCAAAUUAUUACGAAAGAAAGCAAUGUCAUGCUGAUAAGAAAAAGAACAAUGAUACGCGCAACUUUAAUAGAACAUUCUAUUAAAGACGUUUAAAAGACGAAUCUUUGAGAAAAAA